CCUACGGGAGGCAGCAGUGGGGAAUAUUGGGCAAUGGGCGCAAGCCUGACCCAGCAACGCCGCGUGAAGGAAGAAGGCUUUCGGGUUGUAACCUUCUUUUCUCAGGGACGAAGAAAGUGACGGUACCUGAGGAAUAAGCCACGGCUAACUACGUGCCAGCAGCCGCGGUAAUACGUAGGUGGCAAGCGUUAUCCGGAUUUAUUGGGUGUAAAGGGCGUGUAGGCGGGAGCGCAAGUCAGAUGUGAAAACUCAGGGCUCAACCCUGAGCCUGCAUUUGAAACUGUGUUUCUUGAGUGCUGGAGAGGCUAUCGGAAUUCCUUGUGUAGCGGUGAAAUGCGUAGAGAUAAGGAGGAACACCAGUGGCGAAGGCGGUCUGCUGGACAGCAACUGACGGUGAGGCGCGAAAGCGUGGGGAGCAAACAGGAUUAGAUACCCGUGUAGUC
rnacentral:rRNA from 1 species